rnacentral:rRNA from 1 species
GUGGGGAAUUUUGGACAAUGGGGGCAACCCUGAUCCAGCAAUGCCGCGUGCAGGAAGAAGGCCUUCGGGUUGUAAACUGCUUUUGUACGGAACGAAAAGGCUCUGGUUAAUACCUGGGGCACAUGACGGUACCGUAAGAAUAAGCACCGGCUAACUACGUGCCAGCAGCCGCGGUAAUACGUAGGGUGCGAGCGUUAAUCGGAAUUACUGGGCGUAAAGCGUGCGCAGGCGGUUUUGUAAGAUCGAUGUGAAAUCCCCGGGCUCAACCUGGGAACUGCAUUGGUGACUGCAAGGCUGGAGUGCGGCAGAGGGGGAUGGAAUUCCGCGUGUAGCAGUGAAAUGCGUAGAUAUGCGGAGGAACACCGAUGGCGAAGGCAAUCCCCUGGGCCUGCACUGACGCUCAUGCACGAAAGCGUGGGGAGCAAACAGGAUUAGAAACCCUUGUAGUCC